UCAAGAGACAUCCCAGGAGGACUCCAUUAUGCCCUGCACAUAAAAGGCAACACCUAUCACUAAAGACACCUCUGACUCUGCGCUGCCACCCGGCAGUGCGAGGACCACAUACUGACCAGGUGUGGAGCCGAUGCCCAGACCCGUGAUGGCAGAAAAACACCAGUUUGCAAGCAGAAACGCCCUCAGCUUGGAGGAGUGUGGUCACAUGUUGAAAAUGUGGGAGCUUGAUUCAGGCAGCUCUGAAUUCAAGGACUGGUUCAGUUGCCUACAGGCCACGUGACCUUGGGUAAGUCACGCAAUCUUCCUGAGCCUCACUUUUUCCAUGCCAAGAUUCGCCUCCCAGGGUUGCUGUGGCAGAGGCGUAGAUGAGCCAGCUCUAUACUGCACGUGACCCUAAAAAGGAUUCAGAAAACAUUAGGCCCCAACAGCAUCUGCGGGGACCAUCUCCUUAGGGUCCCCAAGGCGUUGCCCUGCCCAUUUUGCAGACCUUUUGUUGUCAACAUUCAGUUAACUUAGAGCCACAUUCAUCCUCCAGGACCUGCAGGGUGGUGGACAAAGGCCGCAUCCCCUGAAAAGCAGGCCCUGAUCUGACGACUGUUCUGAGAGCCAGCACUGGCCCCAGGUUAAGAGCAGAAGGUCCCACUGCUACCCUGAGAGGCUCAAAACUAGCCAUUUCCAUCCCUGGGCUUCUGUGUCAUCAGCUCUAAAAUGAUGUUGAGACCUUUGGUUCCCAAGGGGGAAUGAGGGUUUCGUGUGUUGCCUAAACACUGUCCUCACCCCCUUGAUCUGAGAGCAGACCAGGAGCCAACAGACUGAUCAAUGCCAGCUUCACUUUCCCACUGCCCAGGCUGGCCCCCAGGGAAGAGCAGGACUUGGAGGGGGACUGGCAGGCAGGAUGGGCACUGGUGUAUGUAAGGCAGUGCUGCCCAGUGAAAGAGGUGCCCCUUUCAGAUCCACCAGCCUCUGAUGGAAUCUAAGCUCUACUUUUUGUUUAACUGGCCCCCUGAGGGCAUGCUUCAAUCCUGGAGGUACUGCAACAUACGUCAAUGUGUGAAGUAGACUCAGCACGCUCCUAUCCCAUCUCCCUCCUCCAAAAACUCAUUUGAUAUAUGUCCUCUAGUAGAGGAUGUAUUGAUAUAGGAGCUAAAAAAGAAAUUAUUUAGGCAGUUAGUGAGGGUAAGAGAGUCCUUGGUAAGGUUUCCCUUUUAAUAAAAAGCCGUCCCCAAAUCAUUUCUUUUCUAACAAAGAGCAGCCCGAAACAUCAAGCUGCAGACAUAGAAAAGCAAGCUGGAAGCUUGCACGCUUGAAUACCGGCAGCUGUGCCAAUAGGAAAAGGCUACCUGGGGAUCAGGCAUAUUCAACAUGGAGGCUUCAUGUUCCCUUCUUUGUCAACCAUGUGUGUAGUAAAGGAACAGGCCACAUGGCACCAACCAGGUAGAGAACCCAUCUGCAUAAUAAAAUAUUAGGAUGGGGCAGCCAGCUUUGUGCUAUGUAAAUGGCACACCUGCUCCAACCAAUCUUUGGGCCCUGUGUAAAUCAGACACCGUCUCCUGAAGCUGGUCUGUAAAACCCUGUGCAUUUCACCACGAAACCGGAAGACCCACUCGGGAGCCUCUCUCACUGCAGGAGAGAACACUUUUCUCUUUUCUCUUUCUCUCACCUAUUAAACCUCCACUCUUAAACUCACUUCUUGUGUGUCCGCAUCUUUGAUUUCCUCGGUGUGAGAUGACAACACCACUUCAAGUAUCAGAUGUUAAACUGAUAACAGAUACUCGACUUGAUCUUAGCCAAAAGGCCCAGAAGCUGUUGAGCUCUCCUUCCUGCUCUGUGUACCUGGGUGAGUGUCUGGGUAUCUAUAGGCCUCAGUUUUCCUUGUCUGUAAAUUGGGCACAAUACCACAUUUUCUGCAGUAUCACAGAAGGAGUAGAUGGUCCAUGCAGAGCACAUGGUUAACAUUAAUAUGUAGCUCUUAAUAAGUAGUAGUUACCAUUAUCUCUGCCAUCGUGAUGUCACUUAUAGCUCUCCUGGAGAUGGCUGCAGGUGUGAAGAGAACUAGAGCCCAGUCCUUGGAAUGCUGCAGAAUUGCAGGGUGCAGAGGAAGAGGGCUGACCACACCUGGGAACAUGACUCCUGUGAGCUGGCAUCUCCCAGUACGCGACGACAGGGUCCUCCCACACACAGAAUCCCCUCCUUGAAAUUCCUGGUCACAGACAUAGAACAGGCCAGCAAGGCAGGCAUGGUGGCCAGGCAAUGUUUUUCCUUUUGCAGUCAGCAUAUUUGCCUCAGGAAGAGGGGACUUUUCGGCACCCUGAUGUCCCUCUGUUUGUCCCUUCACUGGAGAGCAAGCAGGUUGAUAAGGUUCUAAUGGCACCUCUGAGACCUCGAGCCUAGGUUCUCACCUAGGACAGGGAGCCACCCACAACAUGGAAGCCAGAAACAGGCUAACUGGUGGCCGCUUCUUGCUCAUCCAUGGAGAGGAAAAGCGAAGCAAGGGUGAGGCAUGGUGGGGAAACCCUGGUCAAAACUCUCUCGCCCUGAAUAUUCCCCUUAGAGGGCAGCUGCCUGGAUGGGGGCACCCUGACUGGCUUGGCCUGGAUUGACGAGCUGAACUCUGGCCAGCAGCCUGGGUCCACGGAUCGCGAGGCUUAUCGGAGUCUUCCCUGAGACAGGGUUCUGUUAGGAAGGAGGAAGCAGAUGGAAGGUGGGCAGGCAGCUGACGGUGUCCACAACACCAUCAUGGAAAUCUUAAAUCUAAAGAGAAUUGAUUUCACCUGAUGGCUGAGCAGAAGCAUGUGUGACCAGAAAAGACCCUUGUACGAAGCUGGCCUGUGCCUCAAAAAAGGAUGUCAGUCCAGGUUCUUUGCACCCACAGCGGGGAAUGCAAUGUCAGAGCUGGGGAGUGGCCUGGCAGGCUGAGGGGAGCGGCUCAUGGACAAGGGCCAUUGUCAUCACCCAUAGCUGUGGUGGUACACAGGAUAUCUGCUCUGCCAGGAGGGGCAGGGAAUCAGCUGUGUCCUGGCCUCUCCCUGUCUCUCAUUCUCUAGCCCAGCCAUUUACCCCUAUUGCUUAUGGAAUUCAGCCCUGGAAGAGAUGUUCUAUCUGCCAGGAGCUCCACCAGCUCAUGCACAAUCUGGCAAAGGUGCCAGAAGACAGAGGUGUCCCCAGAGGGAGCCCUAAGCAACCAGCAUCCCAAAUGACCACAGAUGUCUGCUUCCUGCCUGAGUGAAUUUUCCUUUCUCAGAAAUGCAAUACCUCAUUGACUUGUAUUAUCUUUGGAAUGACAAUGGCCUAACUAAUUGGGAAUGCGUGACUUCAAUAAACAGUUUCACCAACUGCUCUUUCUAAAACUGUUUUCCAGGUCAACUAGUGUGUGAGAAGCAGUUAAUGCUUUGAGUUUUAGGAGAGAACAGGUCCUCUUCAUUCUCUGCCCUAAGGUAUCUGCCAACAUCUCGUAAAUCCAGGCUCACAUGAUAGCCUGGGCCCUAGGAUGACCACGGGAAUUUAUCCCUUGUGUCUACACUGAUGGAUGUUGGUAAUUUUCUGGAAUAUUGGGCUGAGAGGCAUUCUGAGGCCACACCAGAAAGAGCCCUGUGUGUCAUUCACAAUGUCUGCCAUGUGCAGAGGAGAGAAACGGCACAGAUGCCACACACUGGAUAUCCCAAGGCGAAGUGGCCUUCCAUAUAUACCAUAUAUAUUCCAAGGUCAAGAAGCAG
rnacentral:lncRNA from 1 species